GAUGAACGCUGGCGGCGUGCCUAAUACAUGCAAGUCGAACGCAUUGUGGUUGAAAUGAUAUGAAGAACUUGUUCAGAUUUGAUUUUCAACAUUGCAAUGAGUGGCGAACGGGUGAGUAACACGUGGGAAACCUACCUCUUAGCAGGGGAUAACAUUUGGAAACAAAUGCUAAUACCGUAUAAUAAUUAAACCGCAUGGUUUUUAGUUUUAAAAAGAUUGGGUCUUGCUAUCACUAAGAGAUGGUCCCGCGGUGUAUUAGUUAGUUGGUGAGGUAAUGGCUCACCAAGACAAUGAUACAUAGCCGAGUUGAGAGACUGACCGGCCACAAUGGGACUGAGACACGGGCCCCAUACUCCUACGGGA
rnacentral:rRNA from 1 species